rnacentral:tmRNA from 1 species
GUAAUGACUGGACUAAGCAUGUAGUGCCGACGGCGUAGUAAUUUCGGACGGGGGUUCAAAUCCCCCCAGCUCCACCA